rnacentral:misc_RNA from 1 species
GAUCAUUAUAGAGUUUUCUAAACUCCCAACCCAUGUGAACUUACCUUUUGUUGCCUCGGCAGAAGUUAUAGGUCUUCUUAUAGCUGCUGCCGGUGGACCAUUAAACUCUUGUUAUUUUAUGUAAUCUGAGCGUCUUAUUUUAAUAAGUCAAAACUUUCAACAACGGAUCUCUUGGUUCUGGCAUCGAUGAAGAACGCAGCGAAAUGCGAUAAGUAAUGUGAAUUGCAGAAUUCAGUGAAUCAUCGAAUCUUUGAACGCACAUUGCGCCCAUUAGUAUUCUAGUGGGCAUGCCUGUUCGAGCGUCAUUUCAACCCUUAAGCCUAGCUUAGUGUUGGGAAUCUACUUCUCUUAGGAGUUGUAGUUCCUGAAAUACAACGGCGGAUUUGUAGUAUCCUCUGAGCGUAGUAAUUUUUUUCUCGCUUUUGUUAGGUGCUAUAACUCCCAGCCGCUAAACCCCCAAUUUUUUGUGGUUGACCUCGGAUCAGGUAGGAAUACCCGCUGAACUUAAGCAUAUCAAUAAGCGGAGGAAAAGAAACCAACAGGGAUUGCCUUAGUAACGGCGAGUGAAGCGGCAACAGCUCAAAUUUGAAAUCUGGCCCUUGGGUCCGAAUUGUAAUUUGUAGAGGAUGAUUUUGGUGCGGUAUCUUCCGAGUUCCUUGGAACAGGACGCCUUAGAGGGUGAGAGCCCCGUACGGUUGAAUGCCUAGCCUCUGUAAAUCUCCUUCGACGAGUCGAGUAGUUUGGGAAUGCUGCUCUAAAUGGGAGGUAAAUUUCUUCUAAAGCUAAAUAUUGGCCAGAGACCGAUAGCGCACAAGUAGAGUGAUCGAAAGAUGAAAAGCACUUUGAAAAGAGGGUUAAAUAGCACGUGAAAUUGUUGAAAGGGAAGGAUUUGUGACCAGACUUUUUCUGGGCGGAUCAUCCGGGGUUCUCUCCGGUGCACUUCGCCCAGUAAAGGCCAGCAUCGGUUUUCGGCGUGGGAUAAAAGCAGUAGGAAUGUGGCUCUCUACGGGGAGUGUUAUAGCCUAUUGUAUAAUACCGCGCUGGGGACCGA